AGCAGAACUUAUCACACAGCUUCAGCAGCUCUGACAGAACGAAGACGGACGAGGCCAGGCCCGCUAACAGCAGCAGGUGACCAUUUUGGGUCUGUAGUGAGCUGUGCUGGAGCAAUGGCCUGCUCUGUCCUGGAUCUGGGAGCUGACCCUCUGUCCUUCACCCCUGGGUGGAGGCGACAGGAGGAAAGCUGGAGCCCCGGGGCCCUGCCUGUGCUCAGAAUGCUGAGUGUACAAUCUACCUGCGGUUCAGCACAGCAGAGUGGAAGAAACCCAAGCUCCACUCGCUGGGGGCAGGACAAAAAAGGGUGUGAGAGGUACAGAGGCAUCACCGUCCAUCUGUCCUGUGUGUACCUGUGUAGUUUAUGUGUUGGAACAUGCGUGUGGAGGCCGUAAGGACACCCUGGAUGUCCGGCUGCCUCUCUAACUUCCUCCUUUGAGUCAGUAUUUCAGAGUCUGGAGCAAAGCCCCCGGGAUUCUCCUAUCUCUGCCCCGCACAGUGUCAGGGUUACAGGCAUGCUCCUAGGGCUGUGUCCGUGGGACAGACACACAUGCACACACGGAAUCAUUCAUGGAAGAGUCUUUAGUGGCAGAGAAAUGUUGCUACACCAGUGCCUCUGCUAUUAUUAAAAACACGCUUCCAAAUGUUCUUCUGUACACUAGUUACCGUGAUUUACUUAAGAUUAAAUCCAGAAAAAGGCAAUUUUAAUCCUCCUGUCUGGGCCUCCAACUGGGACUUUCAUUUGUGCAGGUGUGCACACAUGGGGACCAGAGGACAGCCUGGUGUCAUCCCCAGGAAGGCUGUCCUUCUCCUUUGACACAGGAUCUCUCACUGGCCUGGAGCUCACCCAUCGGGUGAGGUUGGCUAGCUAGCAAGCCCUGGGUCGGCCUGUCUCCUCCACAGCUGUAGGGUCAGCAGCCUGUACUGCCCUACCUGCGUUUUCACGUGAACUCAGGGUGUCAAACUUGACUCCGCAUGCUUGCAGGCCAAGCACUUUGCCGACCGAGCCAUCCCUCCAGCCCCCAAACAUGAUUUUUAACAGCUGUCCCUUGUGACUAGCUGGUCAAGUGACUCUAGGCUUUCUUAAUAUCCCACAGUAAUGAAUGACAGGAUGACCUUAUUUUGAGAAGGUCCAUACAUUUAGAGUGGGCUUAU